rnacentral:siRNA from 1 species
CAAACCUGAUGUAUUGCCUGC